AUUAUGAUUUUGGAUUUCACGGGCCUAUAAAUCCCGGUCUUUUGAUAGGCUUGCGUGGGGAUAUAGAUCCAACACGUAGAGGCCCCUUGGAGAGCUUUAAUGUCAUGUAGAACGCCUGCUGGAACCCGUUCACAGGCGCAACAAUAGACACCCAUGAACCGGUCGCAGCAGGCAUUGGGACUAUUGUAGAAAAAAUGAACAGUAUUCCGGUCUAUGGAUUGAUGUUUGGGUGGACAAUGAGACUGGGCUAUUGUAAAAGAGGUCCGGACACCUGCCAUAACAAUGUUAACACCGUCAUCGAGGCAGACGGUGACUCGCCGCUGACUAGAUGGGCCCCUGAAAUUGCCGUCGUAAAGACGACCAGGAGCAACAUCGGUGUGAGCGGCUCAGGGGUGUCGAGAGGUGUGCGCCGCUUUCUACCCAGUGACUGUUAACAGCCACUGUGCCAACUCGCGUCUUAUGCAUCUUUCACUUCCACCCCUGGAGCAUAUAGCUCUAGCGACUCCUCUCUGGACGGCCAAUGAAGGCAAGCCAGAGCUGAGAGUCCUGCGGGUCCCCUUGGGGUCCACUCCGACCGACGAAGACACGCCGGAGACGGAGACCCUGACCGACUCUCGGGAGCACUCGGGUCCGUGGGGUCGUUACUCCCCAACAGCUCGCCACAAGCUGCCCUGUGAUUAUGAUUAUUAUUAUGAAAGGUAUGUUGAGAUGGUUUGGACAUGUGGAAAGAAUGAGUGAAAUAAGGUUGACAAAAAGAGUGUAUGAAGGAAAAGUGGAAGUGGGAGUUGGAAGGGGUAGACCUCGGCGGACUUUCUUUGAUCAGAUCGGGAAAAUCCUGAAGAAAGGCCAGGUCAAGAGCACCCUAAACCGGCGAGCGUGUAUGAGGAAUGUUAUGAAUGUGAAAGAAGCGAUAGAGCUUAGGUAUGUCAGAAUCGUAGCAAGUGGAAAUCCGUGGUCUCUGCCUACCCCUCCGAGAAAUAGGCGUGAUUAUAUGUAUGUAUGUAUGUAUGUAUUUCAAUUAUUGCGGAACACAUAUCUUAGUAGGUAUUUAUGUAUUUUAAUUAAAUAUCUGAACUUUCCCUUGGUUCCCUGCUGGGGCGUGACGAUAAAAUUGUGAUCUGAUAACCACAAUAAAGAAUAAAAGCGUUUUUGUUCAUUUUAGAUAUCGUCAAACCUUUGAAGUAAAAUUAAAAUUGUAAGAAAUGUCGAUAGUUUAUCGAUAUGACUUUAUCGACAUGGCUACAGCAAGGUGGUGUUAAAUUGUUAAUCGUACGUACACUAAACAAAAGUGGCAACAGUGACAGCUCGCUGAGACAUUGACAUUGACAAGCAUCGCGUAAGUGUAAGUGCGUAAGUAGUGAAAAUACAAACUAAGUUAAAGAAAAAUACUGAUUUGCUGUGAAAACUGAAGGAAAUGCCACCCAAAAUUUGAUGCUUCGUCGCAAAAGAAAAUGCUAGCGAAAUAUAUCACUCAGCAUCCCCUGUCCGUCUACAGGGAGAUCCAUGAGCCUCUCGGAAUCCAGAGAUACAAAAUGCAAUGCUGCACGUGCACACAAGUUCUAAGAGAGCAUGCAUAAUCAUGCUCGUAGGUACAGAUCAGUGCAGGGAUGGAAGUUAACUUAUCGUGACUCGAGCUGCAAAGUAAGAAAAACAUUGUGGCACCAAACCAGGCUCGGCCAGUGAGGGAAAAUGGAUCCAGAAGAAUUAAGGAUUUAAGAUUCAUAACAUAUUGGAGGCUUGAAAGUGCACAUACCCAUACAUUGGACGUUAAGCUCAACGAGACCAUGCGUCGCAUCUCAGGCACUAUCCGAUCUGCAGCCGCCACUUGCUGCUGUCAUUGAGUCACAUUGCCCCUUCUCACAUCCGACGACUCCAGGCGUUGAAGAGGGAAGCUGAGAAGAUCACGAAUAACCCCCGCAAUGCCU